UCGCCUGUUUAACAAAAACAUGUCCUUUAGUUAUUUAUUUAAGGUCUGACCUGCCCAAUGAUUUUUUAAUGGCCGCGGUAUACUAACCGUGCAAAGGUAGCAUAAUCAUUUGUCUCUUAAUUGGAGGCUGGAAUGAAUGGUUGGACGAGAAAUAUGCUUUCUUUUUUUUAAUGCUAUGAAUUUUAUUUUCUAGUUAAAAAGCUGGAAUUUUUUUGUAGGACGAGAAGACCCUAUAGAAUUUUAUAGAUUUACAAUUUUGUUCUUUUUUGUUUAUUAUUAGGAUUUAAUUUACUAUUUAUUUUGUUGGGGCGACAGGUAAAUUUUUUUAACUUUUCUUUUUUUUUCCAUUAAUUUAUGUUUUUAUGAUCCGUUUAUUUACGAUUAAAAGAAUAAAUUACCUUAGGGAUAACAGCGUUAUUCUUUUGGAGAGUUCUUAUCGAUAAAGGAGUUUGCGACCUCGAUGUUGGAUUAAAA
rnacentral:rRNA from 1 species